ACUUAAAUUGAAGAGUUUGAUCAUGGCUCAGAUUGAACGCUGGCGGCAGGCCUAACACAUGCAAGUCGAGCGGUAGCACAGAGAGCUUGCUCUCGGGUGACGAGCGGCGGACGGGUGAGUAAUGUCUGGGAAACUGCCUGAUGGAGGGGGAUAACUACUGGAAACGGUAGCUAAUACCGCAUAACGU
rnacentral:rRNA from 1 species